GCUUUAGCAAAAUCUAAAGCCGAGCGUGGAAACUCGAAUUUAUCACCAACGGCGAACAGCACGCCAAAUCGUGCUUUUU
rnacentral:sRNA from 1 species